UAAUUAACGUACCGCUAGACCACCCGUACGGGGGAAGCCGGGGAUCUUCGGACCUGGCGCUAGUAGAUGAGCCCGCGUGAGAUUAGCUUGUUGGUGGGGUAAUGGCCUACCAAGGCAACGAUCUCUAGCUGGUCUGAGAGGACGAUCAGCCACACUGGGACUGAGACACGGCCCAGACUCCUACGGGAGGCAGCAGUGGGGAAUAUUGGACAAUGGGCGAAAGCCUGAUCCAGCAAUGCCGCGUGUGUGAAGAAGGCCUGAGGGUUGUAAAGCACUUUCAAUCGUGAAGAAAAGUUGCAGGCUAAUACCCUGUGACCUUGACGUUAACGAUACAAGAAGCACCGGCUAACUCCGUG
rnacentral:rRNA from 1 species